rnacentral:rRNA from 1 species
GAUGAACGCUGGCGGCGUGCCUAAUACAUGCAAGUAGAACGCUGAAGGAGGAGCUUGCUCUUCUGGAUGAGUUGCGAACGGGUGAGUAACGCGUAGGUAACCUGCCUGGUAGCGGGGGAUAACUAUUGGAAACGAUAGCUAAUACCGCAUGACAACAGUUAUUGCAUGAUAACUGUUUAAAAGGGGCAACUGCUCCACUACCAGAUGGACCUGCGUUGCAUUAGCUAGUUGGUGAGGUAACGGCUCACCAAGGCGACGAUACAUAGCCGACCUGAGAGGGUGAUCGGCCACACUGGGACUGAGACACGGCCCAGACUACUACGGGAGGCAGCAGUAGGGAAUCUUCGGCAAUGGACGGAAGUCUGACCGAGCAACGCCGCGUGAGUGAAGAAGGUUUUCGGAUCGUAAAGCUCUGUUGUAAGAGAAGAACGAGUGUGAGAGUGGAAAGUUCACACUGUGACGGUAUCUUACCAGAAAGGGACGGCUAACUACGUG